CGGCAGUAUGGCGACUUGUUUGAGUGUUGUCAGCACCCAUACUGUGUAAAGCUGUGUAUUCCUAUCUGACUGCUAGUGUGGACGGCUCGUUGAAGUUAUAGCCUAUUGGUUGUGGGAGUUUAUUAUUUUUUUUUUUUAUUGAGUAAAUUGGUAUUUUGUCAUCUGCCUUUUCAGAGUCUGCUUGUAUCCUGCUGGAUAAUUUAUAUAUAAAGUAAUUGACUGCCUAAAGGACCACUAUAGUGCCAGGAAAACAUACUUGUUUCCCUGGCUCUAUAGUGCCCUGAGGGUGCCCCCACCCGGCUGGAUGUAGA